GAUUUAUAAAUAUAAUAUAAAAUAAAUAUAAUUUAUUUUUAUGUAAUUAUAUUAUUUAGAAAUUUAUUUAUGUUAUUUACUUAAGGUACUUAUCUAUUUUUAUAUUUUUAUAUAUAUAAUGCAAAAAAGGUGUUGCGGUAUACAUUAUACAAAUAUUAUGUAACACUCUAAAUUGCUUCUGGGCAGUACCCUCUAGUCAAAUCCAUGAAUAUUUCUUUACCCAAAUUAUAUAGCAGUCACACUAAGAGAGAUACAUAACAAUUAUGAAGCAUAUUAUGGCCAUUCAUGGUCUGUUUAGAGAUGAGGUAACCUGUUAGUCAUGGAGAAAAAAAAUGUCAGGGAGUAAGAAAUAUAAGGCUAAGUUUUUGGUUUCACACAAGUUUCAAGAAAUCUGAGAUUCCAAGUUACUUAUGCCAGAAAGGAUUGUCUUCAGGUGCUCCAUGAGAGGAGGCCUUGAGGCCAUCAGGUACAGGCAUCUG